ACGAAAUGACAUCAUAAUUCUGCAUUCAUGAUAUCCAAAAUGCUCCUUACGUCUUUGCUAUGCCUUGAAAUUAUCAUAUGUCAUCGAUAUGCUCCUUAUGCCAAUGAUAUGCUCCAAUUAUCUUUCCUCGAUUGUAUGAACAAAACGUGAUUCAAACGAAAUGACAUCGUAAUUCUGCAUUCAUGAUAUCCAAAAUGCUCCUUACGUCUUUGUUAUGCCUUGAAAUUAUCAUAUGUCAUUGAUAUGCUCCUUAUGCCAAUGAUAUGCUCCAAUUACCUUUUCUCGAUUGUAUGAACAAAACGUGCUUUGAACGAUAUGAUAUUGUAAUUCUGCAUUCAAACAAAACAUGCUACUGUUU
rnacentral:lncRNA from 1 species